AAGGGAGUCAGAUUCUUCUUCCUCUUUUUUCCUCGGAUUCCCUUCCUCUGCAACCGAAAACUUAAGAAACGUGAGUGGUAUCUUGCAUGAGUGAUCUUGGUGAAAAUUUCUUUCACAUAGAGAUGCAGAGAUGUUGAUGGGGUUGGCUUGGUUCGUAGAUGAUAUGGAUAAAUGGUUUGAUCGAGUUGUGCUGGUUGGUUUCGUAAACGAAUAUGCGAGCAUGUUAAUCUUAUUAGAAACGAGAAUGAAGUAAAUGAGGCUGGCCUGAACUUCACAUGCGCGGUGUUUGACAGUGGCCAAAUAGUGUGCCGAAGUACGCUGGGAAAUGAGACGGGGUAAAGGAGUUCAUUUGAGUAUCAUUACUUAUUGUACAUUUUAAGGUCUUGCCUAGUAUUGCCUUGUAGUGGAGCCAUUUUAUAAUGAAUCAGAAAUGUUAUAGCCGAUAUCUGUCCACAGAUUGUAAAGAACUAAUGUUAAAAUUACUUCACUCACAUUUUGGAGGAUUGGAAGAUUUACGUAGCUGGAUAGAGGUGGUUAGUAAUUUGGUUCCAAGGUAGGUUUAUUGUAUAGGAGGAACAGAAAUCAAACAAGAGUCAUGAAAUCUUCUUUACUUGGUGUCCACUUUCUUGCUUUAAUCUCGUGAUAGUGUGCUCGAUGGUUUUUGUCCGUUUUUACAGGUUAAUCCUUAUUGGUACAUUAAAAAUAUGUGAGCCUUUGUAUGGAUUUAGCAAUCAUUUUGUUUUGGAAAA